GCCGGAAUAGCUCAGUUGGUAGAGCAACUGAUUCGUAAUCAGUAGGUCGCGUGUUCGAGUCACGUUUUCGGCU
rnacentral:tRNA from 1 species